UCCAUGUAACCUACAAAAGUAAGUGGAUUCCUGGUACAUUGUAAAUUGUAUAAUUUCUGUUUCAUGACUCGCUUUUCUCACAGAGCUUGUCAAAACACAAUAGAAGUAAUAUUGGAACUGAAGGUGGACCACCUCCUUUUGUGCCUUUUGGACAGAAGUGCAUAUCCCACGUCCAAGUGGAUAGUAGAGAACUUGACCGAAGAAAGACAUUGCAAGUUACGAUGCCUGCCAAACAAACAAAUGAUAAUGAUGAAUUUGAAAAGCAAAGGACUGCUGCUAUUGCGGAAGUUGCAAAGAGCAAAGAAACCAAGACAUUUGGAGGAGGUGGUGUGG